ensembl:snoRNA
AAGUGAAAUGAUGGCAAUCAUCUUUCGGGACUGAACCUGAAAUGAAGAGAGUACUCAUUGCUGAUCACUU